GCAGCCGGGGGAAGAAGGAGAAGGAAAAGGUUUUGGAGCUCACUGAGAACUAAGUGACUGGGCUCCAAGGGAUUCAUCAGGCUUGACGUCAAAAUUUUGGGAGGUUUUUCUUGGUAAGCAAGCCAGAAGAAGAUGGUGCCAUUCAGAUGGUUCGACAGAGGUAGUUUGGGGGGUCAGCCAGGCAGCAGACUGGUUUUCUGAAGAAGAUUUCUUAACUUGGGAAGGACAUGGAGAUUUGAGAGAUGGUUGGGCUGUGUUCAUAAGCAUGGUUUUGAUGUGCUGUUUCCGUUCUCAGCAAUGCUCUUCAACUACCAGAGUGUGCGAUGAUAAUCGUUCUCAUGAUCCAUCCUAGUGCUUUAAAAAUAUGAAGGAUAUUCCAGGUGUUGAGUCUAGGUCAUUUGGGUCUGGUGAGGUAUUUCUAGAUGAACCAGACCCAAGAAGCUGUAAACAGUAGAUACCCAUUAUAUCCAACAUGCCCAUGGCUGCCAUUCACACCUAUUUCAUACCCAUUCUCCCACAAAUUAAUACCCAUCUAUUCUCAUGCAGACCUGACCGUCAUUUCUAUGCCCACAUCUCAUCCCCACGCAUUUCAAACACCACCAUACCCAUCUCUCGUCUUUCAUGCUACCCACACCCACCAUUCAUCAUUUAUUUCCUACAUCACCAUCCAUCAAAUCCACCAUGUUACCUGCUACCACCGAACCCUGUUUUCCCUCACCUCUUUUUGUUUUACCACCAUUCUCUUUCUUCACCACAUCAAAUACCCAUUUUCCCCACCAUCCUGAAUUCCCAUGCAAACCUGUCACCAUGCAUGCUCAUAUUUUGCACUCACCAUUAACCAUUUAUCCCACCUGAUUUCAUUAUGUAUUUGUCCAACCAUCAAUCAUCAUCCACGCCAUCCGUGAGCAAGAACACCAGCCUGCUUCCCUCGUUCUCUCUCAUUGCUCGGCACGUAUCCCCCCAUGCAUAGCCAUGUCUGCCCGCCACCCUUCAUACCCGCCUCCUCAAGCUUGCCCAGUCAGCUGAAUCAAUGGCGGCAUUGGAGCUUCUCCUCCUCCAUUGCUCGUCUUAGAGACUAGGAGUAACUUCUCCACCAAUCUCCAUGGUCACCAGGCGCAUCGCUGCGGACAGCAACGCUCCACUCCGGCGGCUGACUCCCUGUUGCAUCGCGAAGCCGCCACGCACCAACGAGCAGGAUCGCCUCCUCCCUUUUUCUCCUCAGCCCCGAUCGGAAGGCCCGUCUCCUUCGUCUAACCUGAGAACUGAGCUGAUGCCCAAGCACUGACGUCACCGCGGCUGUCCAAGAGUGGUUCGACCCUUGGCUUCGGCAACCAGAGCAAGCAUGCGCGAGUGCACGUGGGUGGCGGACCUUGAAAGAGGAUGAUGAGAUGUGAGUUUCCGAUGAAGACGGCGAUGAGGCUGACGGUGAGCUCAAGGACACAGCGGAUUUUGAUGGUGAUGCCCAGGCAGAGGUUGGAGAGGUGGGCUGUGAAGGAAUUUGGUGUUCUUAGGUUUGCUUUUAGUUUGGGCUUGAGUUGAAGCUCAAUCCAAGCAUGUGAUGGAGUUAGAGUCUGGGGCCUGUCCAAGCUGAUGGUUAUGGGCCUGGUUGGAAGCCCAAGCCCAGUUGCAUUAAUGAAGGGCCUCAUGCCCCCUGUGUUAUUCACUCCCAUGGCCCAUACCCAAUCCAGAAUAGCCCAUUUGGCUACUUCAUUUCUAAAUAAAUUUUUCUUUUAUUAAAAAAAAAGGGGAAGACCUCUAAAUUAGUAAUUUAUUAA